CUCGGGUAACUGAACCGGGGUCUCCGCGGUUUUAUACAGCAACAGAAAAGCAACUAAUACAGACGGCGUGGGACCCUGGAAUUCAAAGAACAAAAACCACCAAAGCCAUAGCAUCUUUAUGAUGGCCUCCACCGUUUCCUGUCAUUGCCCAUCACAGACAGGCUUAUCCCAUUAUGACGUCAUGUGUCCCUUCCUUCUGGGACUGCAGCUCAGUGGGAGGGGUUCUUGCCUGGCACACAGCUUGUCACACUUUGGUUCCCAGUGCUGCUGAAAGUGAGGAAACCAUAUCGAGUUUCUCUUUUCACCAGGCAAUGGUGGCGCACACCUUUGAUUCCAGCAUUCAGGAGGAAGCCAGCAGAUCUCUCUGAGUUUGAGGCCAGCCUGCUCUAAAGAGUGAGUUCCAUGGGACUGGAGAGAUGGCUCAGCGGUUAAGAGCAGGGACUACUCUUCCAGAGGUCCUGAGUUCAAAUUUCUGUAACCACAUGGUGGCUCACAA
rnacentral:lncRNA from 1 species